rnacentral:rRNA from 1 species
AGUCUGCAACCCGACUACAUGAAGCUGGAAUCGCUAGUAAUCGCGAAUCAGAAUGUCGCGGUGAAUACGUUCCCGGGUCUUGUACACACCGCCCGUCACACCAUGGGAGUCGGAAAUGCCCGAAGUCAGUGACCUAACCGAAAGGGAGGAGCUGCCGAAGGUGGAGCCGGUAACUGGGGUGAAGUCGUAACAAGGUAUC